AGCGAGACCUUCGGGUCUAGCGGCGGANGGGUUAGUAACGCGUGGGAACGUACCCUUUUCUAAGGAAUAGCCACUGGAAACGGUGAGUAAUGCCUUAUACGCCCUUCGGGGGAAAGAUUUAUCGGAGAAGGAUCGGCCCGCGUUAGAUUAGAUAGUUGGUGGGGUAAUGGCCUACCNANGUCUACGAUCUAUAGCUGGUUUGAGAGGAUGAUCAGCAACACUGGGACUGAGACACGGCCCAGACUCCUACGGGAGGCAGCAGUGGGGAAUCUUAGACAAUGGGCGCAAGCCUGAUCUAGCCAUGCCGCGUGAGUGAUGAAGGCCUUAGGGUCGUAAAGCUCUUUCGCCUGUGAAGAUAAUGACUGUAGCAGGUAAAGAAACCCCGGCUAACUCCGUGCCAGCAGCCGCGGUAAUACGGAGGGGGUUAGCGUUGUUCGGAAUUACUGGGCGUAAAGCGCGCGUAGGCGGACAUUUAAGUCAGAGGUGAAAUCCCAGGGCUCAACCCUGGAACUGCCUUUGAUACUGGGGUGUCUUGAGUUCGAGAGAGGUGAGUGGAAUUCCGAGUGUAGAGGUGAAAUUCGUAGAUAUUCGGAGGAACACCAGUGGCGAAGGCGGCUCACUGGCUCGAUACUGACGCUGAGGUGCGAAAGUGUGGGGAGCAAACAGGAUUAGAUACCCUGGUAGUCCACACCGUAAACGAUGAAUGC
rnacentral:rRNA from 1 species